CGCCUCUUGUAAACUCCCAAUAAGAGGUCCCGCCUGCCCUGUGACUGUAUGUUUAACGGCCGCGGUAUUUUGACCGUGCAAAGGUAGCGCAAUCACUUGUCUUUUAAAUGAAGACCCGUAUGAAUGGCACCACGAGGGCUUAACUGUCUCCUUUCCCCAGUCAAUGAAAUUGAUCUCCCCGUGCAGAAGCGGGGAUUCUCCCAUAAGACGAGAAGACCCUAUGGAGCUUUAGGCUCCAGAGCAGACUAUGUCAAACGCCCUUGAAUAAAAGACAAAACUUAUUAACUCCUGCUCUACAUGCCUUUGGUUGGGGCGACCACGGGGAAACAAAAAACCCCCACGUGGACUAGGAGCACCAAUACUCCUAGAACCUAGGACCACCUUCCUAAGCAACAGAACUUCUGACCAAUACAAGAUCCGGCACUAAGCCGAUCAACGAACCCAGUUACCCUAGGGAUAACAGCGCAAUCCCCUUCUAGAGCCCAUAUCGACAAGGGGGUUUACGACCUCGAUGUUGGAUCAGGACAUCCUAUUGGUGUAGCCGCUAUUAAGGGUUCGUUUGUUCAACGAUUAAAGUCCU
rnacentral:rRNA from 1 species